rnacentral:rRNA from 1 species
UACGUAGGGUGCAAGCGUUAAUCGGAAUUACUGGGCGUAAAGCGCGCGUAGGCGGCUUGUUAAGUCGGAUGUGAAAUCCCUGGGCUCAACCUAGGCAUUGCAUUCGAUACUGGCAAGCUAGAGUAUGGGAGAGGAAGGUAGAAUUCCAGGUGUAGCGGUGAAAUGCGUAGAGAUCUGGAGGAAUACCGAUGGCGAAGGCAGCCUUCUGGCCUAAUACUGACGCUGAGGUGCGAAAGCAUGGGGAGCAAACAGG